AGAUAUGCUUCUGAAGGAAUUGAAGCCGCCUGCAAAUGAGCAUAUAAAGAUGCUCCUGAAGGUUCAGUGCUAGAAGGUGAAGGAUUGACAUAAUGGGAAGAUAGACAGCAUGGAGGGAUCACAUAAGUUGAUUGGGUGGACUCCAUUGGUUUAUCUUAACAAAUUCACUGAGAUGUGGAGCAUAUGUUGUUUUCAAGAAAGAGAUGAUGCAACCUACUGCCAGCAUCAAAGACAGGUAAAUUCCUUUUCAUAUAUUUAUCUUGUUUUUUCGAGUUUGCAUAUUGUCAUAAAUUUCUGUUGUAUGGAGAAUCUCAGCUUUGCAGGUUCAGAAAUGGAUGAUGAAUCCAUUGUUCAUCUUGUUUAUCAUGCUUACAAUCUCACAAAAUUUCAUAUGUAUAUCAUCAAUCAAAGAUUAGAAGCAAUGGAAGCAGGGGAGUCUACUAACAAUGACUUGUUGAGCAUAUACAUAUUGUUGGUAUCAAAUUAUAGGGAGUUUUGAAAAAGGUAGUGGUGGAGGAAUGAGUUUAAGGGAAGUAGUUGAUGAAGUGAAACUCUUUUACUUUGCACGACAGGAAGAAAAUGCAGAGCUAUUGGUCUCAUGUUAAGCUUUUAUCUGUGUUAGGGAUUUUGUUUAGGUCAUCAACAUUAGUUUAUAUGUUUUUAAUUGAUGUAGUAGUUUUUGACUGUUAGUUUUUUCUUUG